rnacentral:rRNA from 1 species
UCCUGACUGACCGAUAGUGAACCAGUACCGUGAGGGAAAGGCGAAAAGAACCCCGGCGAGGGGAGUGAAAAAGAACCUGAAACCGUGUACGUACAAGCAGUGGGAGCACGCUUAGGCGUGUGACUGCGUACCUUUUGUAUAAUGGGUCAGCGACUUAUAUUCUGUAGCAAGGUUAACCGAAUAGGGGAGCCGAAGGGAAACCGAGUCUUAACUGGGCGUUAAGUUGCAGGGUAUAGACCCGAAACCCGGUGAUCUAGCCAUGGGCAGGUUGAAGGUUGGGUAACACUAACUGGAGGACCGAACCGACUAAUGUUGAAAAAUUAGCGGAUGACUUGUGGCUGGGGGUGAAAGGCCAAUCAAACCGGGAGAUAGCUGGUUCUCCCCGAAAGCUAUUUAGGUAGCGCCUCGUGAAUUCAUCUCCGGGGGUAGAGCACUGUUUCGGCAAGGGGGUCAUCCCGACUUACCAACCCGAUGCAAACUGCGAAUACCGGAGAAUGUUAUCACGGGAGACACACGGCGGGUGCUAACGUCCGUCGUGAAGAGGGAAACAACCCAGACCGCCAGCUAAGGUCCCAAAGUCAUGGUUAAGUGGGAAACGAUGUGGGAAGGCCCAGACAGCCAGGAUGUUGGCUUAGAAGCAGCCAUCAUUUAAAGAAAGCGUAAUAGCUCACUGGUCGAGUCGGCCUGCGCGGAAGAUGUAACGGGGCUAAACCAUGCACCGAAGCUGCGGCAGCGACGCUUAUGCGUUGUUGGGUAGGGGAGCGUUCUGUAAGCCUGCGAAGGUGUGCUGUGAGGCAUGCUGGAGGUAUCAGAAGUGCGAAUGCUGACAUAAGUAACGAUAAAGCGGGUGAAAAGCCCGCUCGCCGGAAGACCAAGGGUUCCUGUCCAACGUUAAUCGGGGCAGGGUGAGUCGACCCCUAAGGCGAGGCCGAAAGGCGUAGUCGAUGGGAAACAGGUUAAUAUUCCUGUACUUGGUGUUACUGCGAAGGGGGGACGGAGAAGGCUAUGUUGGCCGGGCGACGGUUGUCCCGGUUUAAGCGUGUAGGCUGGUUUUCCAGGCAAAUCCGGAAAAUCAAGGCUGAGGCGUGAUGACGAGGCACUACGGUGCUGAAGCAACAAAUGCCCUGCUUCCAGGAAAAGCCUCUAAGCAUCAGGUAACAUCAAAUCGUACCCCAAACCGACACAGGUGGUCAGGUAGAGAAUACCAAGGCGCUUGAGAGAACUCGGGUGAAGGAACUAGGCAAAAUGGUGCCGUAACUUCGGGAGAAGGCACGCUGAUAUGUAGGUGAAGUCCCUUGCGGAUGGAGCUGAAAUCAGUCGAAGAUACCAGCUGGCUGCAACUGUUUAUUAAAAACACAGCACUGUGCAAACACGAAAGUGGACGUAUACGGUGUGACGCCUGCCCGGUGCCGGAAGGUUAAUUGAUGGGGUCAGCGCAAGCGAAGCUCUUGAUCGAAGCCCCGGUAAACGGCGGCCGUAACUAUAACGGUCCUAAGGUAGCGAAAUUCCUUGUCGGGUAAGUUCCGACCUGCACGAAUGGCGUAAUGAUGGCCAGGCUGUCUCCACCCGAGACUCAGUGAAAUUGAACUCGCUGUGAAGAUGCAGUGUACCCGCGGCAAGACGGAAAGACCCCGUGAACCUUUACUAUAGCUUGACACUGAACAUUGAGCCUUGAUGUGUAGGAUAGGUGGGAGGCUUUGAAGUGUGGACGCCAGUCUGCAUGGAGCCGGCCUUGAAAUACCACCCUUUAAUGUUUGAUGUUCUAACGUGGACCCGUGAUCCGGGUUGCGGACAGUGUCUGGUGGGUAGUUUGACUGGGGCGGUCUCCUCCUAAAGAGUAACGGAGGAGCACGAAGGUUGGCUAAUCCUGGUCGGACAUCAGGAGGUUAGUGCAAUGGCAUAAGCCAGCUUGACUGCGAGCGUGACGGCGCGAGCAGGUGCGAAAGCAGGUCAUAGUGAUCCGGUGGUUCUGAAUGGAAGGGCCAUCGCUCAACGGAUAAAAGGUACUCCGGGGAUAACAGGCUGAUACCGCCCAAGAGUUCAUAUCGACGGCGGUGUUUGGCACCUCGAUGUCGGCUCAUCACAUCCUGGGGCUGAAGUAGGUCCCAAGGGUAUGGCUGUUCGCCAUUUAAAGUGGUACGCGAGCUGGGUUUAGAACGUCGUGAGACAGUUCG